rnacentral:rRNA from 1 species
CUGCCUGCCCAGUGACACUAAGUUUAACGGCCGCGGUAUUAUGACCGUGCAAAGGUAGCGUAAUCACUUGUCUUUUAAAUAAAGACCAGUAUGAAUGGCAAGACGAAAGUUCAACUGUCUCCCUAAAUUAAUCAAUGAAAUUGAUUUUUCCGUGCAGAAGCGGAAAUAUAAUUAUAAGACGAGAAGACCCUAUGGAGCUUUAAACAUAUGAUCAAUUGCGUAACAUAAAAUCCAAAAGAUAAAAUAUUUAAUAUAACAAUAUGAUCAAAAUUUUAGGUUGGGGUGACCACGGAGAAAAACAAAACCUCCGAGAUGAAGAGAAUAUCUUAAUUCAAGAACUACAAUUCUAAAAAAUAAAAUAUUUAACAUAAUUGAUCCAAUACUUUGAUCAACGAACCAAGUUACCCUAGGGAUAACAGCGCAAUCCUCUCCAAGAGUCCCUAUCGACGAGCGGGUUUACGACCUCGAUGUUGGAUCAGGACACCCCAAUGGUGCAGCCGCUAUUAAAGGUUCGUUUGUUCAACGAUUAAA